ACUCAAAUGAAUUGACGGGGGCCCGCACAAGCGGAGGAACAUGUGGUUUAAUUCGAUGAUACGCGAGGAACCUUACCUGGGCUUAAAUGGGGGACGACAGCUGCUGAAAGGUGGUUUUCUUCGGACGUUCUUCAAGGUGCUGCAUGGUUGUCGUCAGCUCGUGCCGUGAGGUGUCGGGUUAAGUCCCAUAACGAGCGCAACCCUUACUGUUAGUUGCCAUCGGGUAAAGCCGGGGACUCUAGCGGGACUGCCACCGUAAGGUGAGAGGAAGGUGGGGAUGACGUCAAAUCAGCACGGCCCUUAUGUCCAGGGCUACACACGUGUUACAAUGGCCGGUACAAAGGGCAGCUACACCGCGAGGUGAUGCUAAUCUCGAAACCCGGUCUCAGUUCGGAUCGAAGUCUGCAACCCGACUUCGUGAAGUUGGAUUCGCUAGUAAUCGCGCAUCAGCCACGGCGCGGUGAAUACGUUCCCGGGCCUUGUACACACCGCCCGU
rnacentral:rRNA from 1 species